GCCAGCUCCCAAACAUGCCGCUGUUUGCAUUGUAAGUGUUUGCUCUUAAGAUCAUACGGUUGCAGCUGGGAGUAGCUGUAGCUCUAGCUGCUGCUCAGCCAGAGACAACUUUCUCCCACCCCUCAGAAGGAGCUGUUACCACUUCUCCCCAGUGGGAGAUGGUGAAACUCAGAAAGCCUUCCUUGGAGCAUUUAGAGAAGGAAGAGAAUGAUGUAUCAAGGCAAUAUUCCUGGAAGCUGAGAUCAACAGACCAUGAUUAAAGUCAGCUUGCAGUUAUAUUGGCUGAGAAUGUCACACCAGCUGCUUGCACACCCCACAAGAUGAUGAAUGUCUUGCUGCUGUCCGUACUGCUCUCCAGAAUUUAUCAGCAAAAGAGAAAAAUGGGGAAGGUUACAACUCCCAGAGACUCACAAAUUCUUCUUGCAACAGUGAGCAGUGAAGGCUUGGCUGACAGUUAUGAAUGAAUCACUGGCCGUGUGUGUGGUGGCGGGAGGAGUGUCUGAACCUUGGCACUGUAAUCAGGAGUAGCAGGCGCCACCUGGACAGCAAGGGCAGGUGAGGAGGUAGGAGGGCUCUCAUGGCAGAUCCAUUGUUCUUCUAACCAGAGAAUUUUAGCCAGUUGCUCUUGUGGGAAAACUCAUUGUCAAGGUUAGGGAAAUGAAAUUGUAUGGUCUCUUCUCACUGUGGAGGAAUACAUUAUCUGUAGAGAAUGGAGAUCCUGCAGGGGUUCAGGGCCAAGGCACAGGAGUUCUGGUGCUGUAGAGCUAGAGGAAGGGUACGUGGGAAGAAAUCUAGGGGCUGCUGGCUAGGGUGGCAGGAGGUUGGA